AAUGCCAAAGAACUCUACGAACCACUCUAGGUUUCUUAUUGCUUCUCCAUGGUCUGGCUCUUCAGUGUUCGUUUUUUGGUUCCAAGUUUAUUUUUGGGCCUUCUUGACUAAGCUUCUUUCUUGCAUGGCUUGCGGUCUUUGGUGCUCCAUGGUUUAGCUUUAGUGCUCAAUGGCUUUUGGUUUUCUCUCGGUGGUUGAAGCUCUUCGACGAUUGUCAAGGUGAAGUGGGCG
rnacentral:misc_RNA from 1 species